rnacentral:misc_RNA from 1 species
GGAAAUUCAAGUUUCCAUUUAUAAUUCUACAAAGUCACGGACUUUAUUACACCAAAAGCAAAAGGGAUUUACAUCAAAUUACAAGCAAAAAGAAGAACACAGAGAAAAAACACAUCCAUCUUCCUCAGCUGGUCAGACAUAAACACAUCUUUGUCUGUUAGCUAUUCUCUUCCCCCCUCCCUCCUACUCUUCUGAUCUGCAUUAUCAACCACAAAUAAAAAACAAAUAUAUGAAAAUCUCCACCGCUAGGAGAAAAUCUCUUCACCGUGUGGCCGCCAAAGCUGCAGGCCCCUCCACUUUGAAUGUUGCACCCCAUAUCUCUUCUUCAUUAGCAGGAACAGCAGUGAUCUUGUUCUUAGGAUUCUGAUAGCAUCUCAGUUCACCAACUGCUGUAGAUAGGAAACACCCUUGAGGGAAAGAAGCAAGCGAUUUCCCGCAAGCACCUUUGAGCAGAUCGGCGUUAUCGGAAAAAGCCACGUAACCAUCGGCGGUGAUUCCCCAAUACAAUGGAACCUUCCCAUUCCGAUCAGAAGCAACGAAGAGAGUGGAGGUGGACUUGUCGAAGACGAUGAAGGCGAAACUGCCGCUAAGAUGGCCGACGACGUGGCUGGCCGGGUAGGGGGCUCGGUCACGGAGGGCCUUGUAAGCUUCGAUCACUAGAAUCACCUCGUUCGCCGAUUUGGCUAAGCCGUAUUGUUGCCGGAGGCUUCCUAAAUUGUCCAAAACUCCCUCGAAUAAACAGAAGAUGUCGUCCUUCACUGCGAACGAUCUGGGGCAUAAGGCGGAUUCAGUUUCGUGACUGUAAGCAAGCUGGACAUGGUCCCCGAGCUGCAAGGACACGGCGGAGGAGUUGGUCUGGACGAACCGGUUCAAGAGAGCCGCCGAUGUGGUUUUUGGCGAC